GACGUAGGGCGCGAGCGUUGUCCGGAUUUAUUGGGCGUAAAGAGCGUUUAGGCGGCCAGGUAGGUCUGCUGUGAAAACUCGAGGCUUAACCUCGAGCUGUCGGCGGAAACCAUCUGGCUAGAGUCCGGAAGAGGAGAAUGGAAUUCCCGGUGUAGCGGUGAAAUGCGCAGAUAUCGGGAAGAACACCCGUGGCGAAGGCGGUUCUCUGGGACGGUACUGACGCUGAGACGCGAAAGCGUGGGGAGCGAACAGG
rnacentral:rRNA from 1 species